UUAAAAAUAAUUUUUUUUUUAGUAAAACUUUGUGGAAAGAUGGUUGAUUUUAACAUGUGGAUUGAUAUUUAAUCAAUAAAAUAAAGGGUAUCGUAAGAAAUAAUUCAACUGGGGUGUUAUAAGGAUAUUAGAGGGGUGUUAAAAGCUCGCUCUUAGAAGAACACGGGGAAAUGUUAGCCCAACCACUAGGGGGCCAGGCUGCCAGCCUCAUUCCCAGUGAAACUGAACAAAAAAAAUCCAGAAUUCUCGGAUUACGGCAUCCAUCCUCAUCCAAAUACCAAUGUUAUGUUUGAUUAAUCAAUUUGUUGUAUAAGCAAUCCUUUCCAACCAUUUUUUUUUUCAUAUUUUAUAUGAUAAUAGAAUAUAAGUACAAUAUGAGUAUUAAUAAAUACAACUCAACUCUAUUGAAAUUUAAAGUCCAACCCAAUGCCGAUACCUAUCUUAUGGUGUGUUUACUUGUGGGUUUGGGGAAUGAGAAUGAAACUUAUAUUUACUUCGUAAAAUGUAAUUUGGGAAUAGGAAUAAAUUGUGUGGGUCCCACACAAUUUGGAAAUAAAGAAUGGGAAUCUCAUUCCCAUGAGGGGGUUGGGAAUGAAAAUGUGGGAAUGAAAAUGAAACAUAAAUUUACUUUUUAUCCUUCUAAUUUUUUUCAUAUUUUCUAAAUUACCCUUGUUCAAAUCAC
rnacentral:lncRNA from 1 species